rnacentral:rRNA from 1 species
GUGGGGAAUAUUGGACAAUGGGCGCAAGCCUGAUCCAGCCAUGCCGCGUGAGUGAUGAAGGCCUUAGGGUUGUAAAGCUCUUUCACCGGUGAAGAUAAUGACGGUAACCGGAGAAGAAGCCCCGGCUAACUUCGUGCCAGCAGCCGCGGUAAUACGAAGGGGGCUAGCGUUGUUCGGAAUUACUGGGCGUAAAGCGCACGUAGGCGGACAUUUAAGUCAGGGGUGAAAUCCCGGGGCUCAACCCCGGAACUGCCUUUGAUACUGGGUGUCUGGAGUAUGGAAGAGGUAAGUGGAAUUCCGAGUGUAGAGGUGAAAGUCGUAGAUAUUCGGAGGAACACCAGUGGCGAAGGCGGCUUACUGGUCCAUUACUGACGCUGAGGUGCGAAAGCGUGGGGAGCAAACAGGAUUAGAAACCCCGGUAGUCC